rnacentral:rRNA from 1 species
GGAGGCAGCAGUGGGGAAUUUUCCGCAAUGGGCGAAAGCCUGACGGAGCAAUACCGCGUGCGGGAGGAAGGCCCUUGGGUCGUAAACCGCUUUUAUCAGGGAAGAAGUUCUGACGGUACCUGAUGAAAAAGCCUCGGCUAACUCCGUGCCAGCAGCCGCGGUAAUACGGAGGAGGCAAGCGUUAUCCGGAAUUAUUGGGCGUAAAGCGUCCGCAGGUGGUAUUGUAAGUCUGCUGUCAAAGACAGAAGCUCAACUUCUGAAAGGCAGUGGAAACUGCAAAACUAGAGUACAGUAGGGGUAGAGGGAAUUCCCAGUGUAGCGGUGAAAUGCGUAGAGAUUGGGAAGAACACCGGUGGCGAAGGCGCUCUGCUGGGCUGUAACUGACACUGAGGGACGAAAGCUAGGGGAGCGAAUGGGAUUAGAUACCCCAGUAGUCCUAGCCGUAAACGAUGGAAACUAGGCGUGGCUUGUAUCGAC